GCUUCGUGAAGCCGCUGGGUGGCUGCCCGACUGUCGAUCGGGUGAGACGGGUUCGACUCCCGUACGAAGCG
rnacentral:tRNA from 1 species